UGGACUACUGGGGUUUCUAAUCCUGUUUGCUCCCCACACUUUCGCGCCUCAGCGUCAGAUCCGGUCCAGGUGGUCGCCUUCGCCACUGGUGUUCCUCCUAAUAUCUACGCAUUUCACCGCUACACUAGGAAUUCCACCACCCUCUCCCGGUCUCAAGCUGUGCAGUUUCAGAGGCAGUUCCUCGGUUGAGCCGAGGGAUUUCACCCCUGACUUGCACAGCCGCCUACGCGCCCUUUACGCCCAAUAAUUCCGAAUAACGCUUGCCCCCUCCGUAUUACCGCGGCGGCUG
rnacentral:misc_RNA from 1 species